GGGCCGCUGCCUAGCACAAAUCACAGCUCGGGGCGUGAGUGGCUUUUGGUUGGCGCCCCGCGAUGGUGCGCGAGGAUUCGAAUCCACUGCGCAAGACAGUGGCGGCUCGCCAUCCUUGGACCGCUGAAGGACCGCUACCCAUAGACGACAACGGACGGAAGAACCAGCCACAACUUAAUAGGACUAGGUCACCAAGAGUACAAGUCUGUAAGAAAUGUAUGUAGUCGUUUCCUUCCCCGCGGAGGGCUUGUUUUUUGUGGUGCCUGUUUCAUGGCUCAUAGAAGAUAAAUGUUACUGGCCUCCCUUUAAAACGCUGGACAAGGUAAAAAAGGCUGCCCUACAAAAUGAAACCCCUGACCCCAACUGUUGGACACUUCAUCCAGUUGAGGUGCUUAAAGUUAAAGGUAGGCUCGGUUGUAUAUUU